UGCAGUCAGAAACAUAUAUUUAACUUAAGGGUUGCAUAAUAUUUGAGAGUUAUUUUUACAGGUGGAAACUUCAGUAAUCGUUCUGUUAUAACAUUUUUGUAUCCAUGUAUGUAAAUUGCACUUACUCAGUCUCCUAUAAGAGUUGAGAUCAUGCCAUCAGUGACACAAAGGAGGGAAAUCAUUGAGUGCAACAUGUUCUCUGUAGCUGUGCUCCUGCUGCUGCUGGUUUCUGGAUCCUGUGUAAAAUGUGAGCAGUUGACACAGACAGCAUCUGUGAAUGUACAGCCAGGUCAUCGUCUGACCAUCACCUGUCAGGUGGCUUAUUCUCUAAGCAGCUAUCGGACAGCUUGGAUCAGACAGCCUGCAGGGAAAGGACUGGAGUGGAUUGGAGAUGCACAUUAUGGAUACCCCACAUUUUACAAAGAUUCACUAAAGAACAAGUUCACCAUCAACUUAGACACUUCAAGCAAGACAGUGACUCUAAAUGGACAGAACAUGAGGCCUGAAGACACUGCUGUGUAUUACUGUGCCAGAGACCCACAGUAACACAAAACAUCAGUAGAGCUGAACAAAAACCUCUCACAGCUUCAACAUGUGUAACAUCCUCCACCAGAAGAGGAGCCCCCAGACUACAGAACACUGUUAUCUGCUGCAUGUCGCUGUUUAGCGCUGGAGAUUGCCAUGAUAAUAUAUAUUCUUUUAAAGUUAUAGUUAUAGAUAAAGUUUUAUAUUUUGUAUUUCCAAUUCAACCUUAAUAACCUGCUCAAUUUUUGACAUUUUUUAUCUGUAAUUAAGUAAUUAAUUAGUUUUAAAAAGUUCUUAAAAGUUCAUUAAAAGUUCUUCCAUCUAAACCUUUG